rnacentral:lncRNA from 1 species
GAAACAUUGUGCCUGAGAUUAUAAGGGAUAAGCCCUUAAAACUCAGAUGUCCCAGGACAGAAGAAAAUCAAACUCAAAGUAAAAAGAAGGAAAUAAUGAAGACCAGAG